UACGUAGGGCGCAAGCGUUAUCCGGAAUUAUUGGGCGUAAAGAGCUCGUAGGCGGUGUGUCGCGUCGGCCGUGAAAACCUGCAGCUUAACUGUGGGCUUGCGGUCGAUACGGGCAUCACUGGAGUUCGGCAGGGGAGACUGGAAUUCCUGGUGUAGCGGUGAAAUGCGCAGAUAUCAGGAAGAACACCCGUGGCGAAGGCGGCUCUCUGGGACGGUACUGACGCUGAGACGCGAAAGCGUGGGGAGCGAACAGG
rnacentral:rRNA from 1 species